rnacentral:rRNA from 1 species
GACGAACGGUGGCGGCGUGCUUAACACAUGCAAGUCGAACGGAAAGGCCCUGCUUUUGUGGGGUGCUCGAGUGGCGAACGGGUGAGUAACACGUGAGUAACCUGCCCUUGACUUUGGGAUAACUUCAGGAAACUGGGGCUAAUACCGGAUAGGAGCUCCUGCUGCAUGGUGGGGGUUGGAAAGUUUCGGCGGUUGGGGAUGGACUCGCGGCUUAUCAGCUUGUUGGUGGGGUAGUGGCUUACCAAGGCUUUGACGGGUAGCCGGCCUGAGAGGGUGACCGGCCACAUUGGGACUGAGAUACGGCCCAGACUCCUACGGGAGGCAGCAGUGGGGAAUAUUGCACAAUGGGCGGAAGCCUGAUGCAGCAACGCCGCGUGCGGGAUGACGGCCUUCGGGUUGUAAACAGCUUUCGCCUGUGACGAAGCGUGAGUGACGGUAAUGGGUAAAGAAGCACCGGCUAACUACGUG